rnacentral:rRNA from 1 species
AUCGAACGCUGGCGGCAGGCCUAACACAUGCAAGUCGAGCGGAGCGGCGGACGGGUGCGUAAUGCCUAGGAAUCUGCCAGGUAGCGGGGGAUAACGUCCGGAAAUGGGCGACAAUACCUCAUAUUAUCAGUCUACCCUUGGUCGGUUUAGCUAGUUGGUGGGGUAAUGGCAUACCAAGGCGACGAUCCGUAACUGGUCUGAGAGGAUGAUCAGUCACACUGGAACUGAGACACGGUCCAGACUCCUACGGGAGGCAGCAGUGGGGAAUAUUGGGCAAUGGACGAAAGCCUGAUCCAGCCAUGCCGCGUGUGUGAAGAAGGUCUUCGGAUUGUAAAGCACUUUAAGUUGGGAGGCGUUACCAACAGAGUAAGCACCGGCUAACUUCGUGCCAGCAGCCGCGGUAAUUC